AGGGAUGCUAUCGGCAGCCGGUCCCCGGGGGGAGAGGGAUGAGGUCAGGAGCCGGUACUCGGGGGCGGGGGCGAGAGGGGAGGAUGCUGUCCGGAGCCGGUCCUUGGGGGGAGAGGGAUGCUGUCCGGAGCCGGUCCUUGGGGGGAGAGGGAUGCUGUCCGGAGCCGGUCCUUGGGGGGGAGAGGGAUGCUGUCCGGAGCCGGUCCCUGGGAGAGGGGGAUAUCCCGGAGCCGGUCCUGGAGGUAGGGAGGUGAUGUUUAGAGUCGGUCCCGGGAGGAGGGGGAUGCUGUCCGGAGCCGGUCCCGGGGGGAGGGGGACGAGGUCCGGAGCCGGUCCCGGGAGGAGGGGGAUGAGGCCCAGAGGUGGUCCUGGGGGAAGGGGACGAGGUCCAGAGUCGGUCCCGGGGGAGGCCCCACCCAGCCCGGCGGAGGGACCCUCCUUUCUGUCAGAAAUGCGUCCGCUCCGGACCACCCAGCUGAGAUGGGGCGGGAUGCGGAGGGAUGGAGGGAUGGAGGGAGGGGAGAAGGGAGGGAGGGAGCGCGGGCCGGGUCCCCCCUGCCCAGCCCGGGCCCUCCACCCUCUGGCUCCCGCGGGGGGAGAGGGGGAGGAGGAGGAGGAGGAGGAGGAGGAGGAGGAGGAGGAGGAGGGUCCUUCCCCCCUCCCCGCCCCCGCAGCCCCCGCAGCCCCCGCAGCCCACCUGUGCGGACAGGUGGGGGGAUCCCGUGCCCCGCCGCCGGCCCCGGCCCGUCCCUGCCCCUCUCCCGGGGCUGGGCCGGUCCCCUUACCUCGGGGGUCCGGACCCGACCCCGACCCCGCCGCCGCAGCCGGGGCCCAGCGGGAAACUUCCCAGCCCCGCUCCGCUCCAACGCAUGGCCGAUGGCCGCGCCCCAGGCACGCCCGCUGCCUCCAGGGGGG
rnacentral:lncRNA from 1 species